GAUGAACGCUGGCGGCGUGCCUAAUACAUGCAAGUCGAGCGAAUGGAUUAAGAGCUUGCUCUUAUGAAGUUAGCGGCGGACGGGUGAGUAACACGUGGGUAACCUGCCCAUAAGACUGGGAUAACUCCGGGAAACCGGGGCUAAUACCGGAUAACAUUUUGAACCGCAUGGUUCGAAAUUGAAAGGCGGCUUCGGCUGUCACUUAUGGAUGGACCCGCGUCGCAUUGGCUAGUUGGUGAGGUAACGGCUCACCAGGGCAACGAUGCGUAGCCGACCUGAGAGGGUGAUCGGCCACACUGGGACUGAGACACGGCCCAGACUCCUACGGGAGGCAGCAGUAGGGAAUCUUCCGCAAUGGACGAAAGUCUGACGGAGCAACGCCGCGUGAGUGAUGAAGGCUUUCGGGUCGUAGAACUCUGUUGUUAGGGAAGAACAAGUGCUAGUUGAAUAAGCUGGCACCUUGACGGUACCUAACCAGAAAGCCACGGCUAACUACGUGCCAGCCGCCGCGGUAA
rnacentral:rRNA from 1 species